UAACAAGGCUCUUAAGUGUGAUCUAUGUCC
rnacentral:piRNA from 1 species